GCCUGCGUAGCUCAAUCGGAUCAGAGCGUGAGACUCUUAUCUUGAAAAUUUUCAAGCUUGCGGGUAUCUCAAGGUUGCGAGUUCGACCCUCGCCGUGGGCU
rnacentral:tRNA from 1 species